UGCAAGAAGAGUUGUGGCCUUUGCAGCGGAGGGAAUGGAGGAGGCGGUGGCUUCGGUGGCUACGGUGGCUAUGGUGGCCGCCCUAGCUGGGGACGUCGAUAAAAACGUGGCUCUAACCUAAGGUUUCUGGUUUUCCAAUAAUUAUUUCGAUGGCUGAAAAAUGGAGAACGAAUGGAAUAGGAGAUACGUCAUGGCUCAGUAUUGUAGGCAGGG